AAUGUUGCAAAUAAUUAGAAGUUCAUGUUACGAUCUGAUAAGUGCUUGUUUUAGGAUACUAAGCUUGUCCUUAGGAAACCAUCAAAUAUGUCGGCGAAGUGGUUUGAGAGAUCAACUCAACGAGAUCUGCAAUAUUUAUUGUAGACAUAUACAUCGACAACCGCCCUUUUAAAGUUUUUAUAAAUAGAAAGGAAGAGGGGGCUGGAGAUCUCAAAUGUGGUGAUGUUUGAGAGACCAAGAUGUUGCAUGUGAGCAUGGAGUAAACGAAGUGGCUAUAAAAUAAAUUCCAUACUCAUUAAUGUUAUCUUCGUCUCCAAUCUGAAUGUUCGGAGUUUCUCUUAGAUUGGUCUCACCUAUGUCCUCUUCUGU
rnacentral:lncRNA from 1 species